rnacentral:rRNA from 1 species
UUCCGGUUGAUCCCGCCGGACCCGACUGCUAUCAGAAUAGGACUAAGCCAUGCGAGUCAACGUAGCAAUACGUGGCAUACGGCUCAGUAACACGUAGUCAACAUGCCCAGAGGACGUGGAUAACCUCGGGAAACUGAGGAUAAACCGCGAUAGGUCAUAAUAUCUGGAAUGAUUUAUGGUUUAAAUCUAUAUGGCCUCUGGAUUGGACUGCGGCCGAUCAGGCUGUUGGUGAGGUAAUGGCCCACCAAACCUGAAACCGGUACGGGCUCUGAGAGGAGAAGCCCGGAGAUGGGCACUGAGACAAGGGCCCAGGCCCUAUGGGGCGCAGCAGGCGCGAAAACUCUGCAAUAAGCGAAAGCUUGACAGGGUUAUUCUGAGUGAUUUCCGCUAAGGAAAUCUUUUGGCACCUCUAAAAAUGGUGCAGAAUAAGGGGUGGGCAAGCCUGGUGUCAGCCGCCGCGGUAAUACCAGCACCCCGAGUGGUCGGGACGAUUAUUGGGCCUAAAGCAUCCGUAGCCGGUUCUACAAGUCUUCCGUUAAAUCCACCUGCUUAACAGAUGGGCUGCGGAGGAUACUAUAGAGCUAGGAGGCGGGAGAGGCAAGCGGUACUUAGUGGGUAGGGGUAAAAUCCGUUGAUCCAUUGAAGACCACCAGUGGCGAAGGCGGCUUGCCAGAACGCACUCGACGGUGAGGGAUGAAAGCUGGGGGAGCAAACCGGAUUAGAUACCCGGGUAGUCCCAGCUGUAAACGAUGUAGACUCGGUGAUGAAUAGGCUUCGUGCCUAUUCAGUGCCGCAGGGAAGCCGUUAAGUCUGCCGCCUGGGGAGUACGGUCGCAAGACUGAAACUUAAAGGAAUUGGCGGGGGAGCACCACAAGGGGUGAAGCCUGCGGUUCAAUUGGAUUCAACGCCGGG